CCUACGGGAGGCAGCAGUGAGGAAUAUUGGUCAAUGGACGAGAGUCUGAACCAGCCAAGUAGCGUGAAGGAUGACUGCCCUAUGGGCUGUAAACUUCUUUUAUAUGGGAGUAAAACAGGGUAUGCAUACCCUCUUGUAUGUACCAUAUGAAUAAGGAUCGGCUAACGACGUGCCAGCAGCCGCGGUAAUACGGAGGAUCCGAGCGUUGUCCGGUUUUAUUGGGUUUAAAGGGAGCGUAGGCGGCCUUUUAAGUCAGCGGUGAAAGUCUGUGGCUCAACCAUAGAAUUGCCGUUGAAACUGGGAGACUUGAGUAUGUUAGAGGCGGGCGGAAUGCGUGGUGUAGCGGUGAAAUGCGUAGAUAUAACGCAGAACCCCGGUUGCGAAGGCGGCCUGCCAGGCCGUAACUGACGCUGAUGCACGAAAGCGUGGGGAGCAAACAGGAUUAGAUACCCCAGUAGUC
rnacentral:rRNA from 1 species